rnacentral:rRNA from 1 species
ACAGCAGUCGCCACGGUAAUACGAAGGGGGCUAGCGUUGUUCGGAAUUACUGGGCGUAAAGCGCACGUAGGCGGAUAUUUAAGUCAGGGGUGAAAUCCCAGAGCUCAACUCUGGAACUGCCUUUGAUACUGGGUAUCUUGAGUAUGGAAGAGGUGAGUGGAAUUCCGAGUGUAGAGGUGAAAUUCGUAGAUAUUCGGAGGAACACCAGUGGCGAAGGCGGCUCACUGGUCCAUUACUGACGCUGAGGUGCGAAAGCGUGGGGAGCAAACAGGAUUAGAUACCCCCGUAGUCCCUGUCUCUUAUAC